CCUGGGAAAGGAGCCUGCCAAGCUGCAGAGGAACUAUUUCAGGGACGUUUGAGCAGUGUGUGUGGUGUGUUUUGUUUUGAUCUUCCUGCAGCACCUGCAAGAUACCCAAUGGGUACCAAUAAGCAAGGGGUGGAAAGGUGCUUUCAGUAACCUGAGAGUACGCCCUCCCACAAACAAGCAUGGCCCUCCAGGCAGAAGUAGAGCCCUUGCAGCGAGCCCUAUCCCCAGCAGGAUGAAGCAAUCAGCAUCCACUGAGCAGAGCCUCGCGGAGGGGAACUUGUUGCCGUUUCAUUCUGCAGCUGAAGAAACAUACAGCAGUGGCAGGGAGCCUUGGGGCAGCUGAUUUAAGGAUCAGUUUUGCAAGCUGUUCCUUACUAUCUGGCAUUCAUAAAAUUCACCUUGAGUAAUAGUUAUUUUUCUGCUGAACUCAAACUUCUGCCAGCGGAGCAUCAUGCUGGCUGAAUGUCUCCAGGCCAUCUCCCGAGCAGCACCAGGUGGUACCAGCCAUGCUGGAUCCAAGGAGUAGCACCUUUAUCCCCCGUCAGUUAAGAUCUUCUCUCCUUUCUGAGGAACCCUGCUAACACCAGCAGUAAAUGCUCUCCCCCAGAGAAAGCCUCCCACCAUCCUCUGCCCUGUUCUGAGAAAUGAGUUAGGAUUAAAAGAGCGUAAUUGCUUCUGGGGGGUUGUUUUGUGGCCAGUCAUGUGGUGGAAUACUUUGGACAGAAAUUUUAAUUUAAUGCAGAGUUGCUAAUCAACAUCAAACACAUGAAUGUCAGUGGCUGAUAAAUUUAAUUGGGUGUUUGUUUAAAAGUAUUGCAGGAAGUAUGUGCUUGAAGCAUCAAAGAGUGGGUUUUAGAACUUCAAACAGUACUCUGGUUACAUUUUUGGCAAGGGCUGUCACCAGAUCCGUGGUGUUUGGCUGCUCUAGUGGUACUUAUUGCAUCAGUUUCUCUAAUUGUGCAGUGUUUACUAAAAUAUGUAUCUAUGUAAACAGAUUUAUGAAGAAUGAUGCUAAAAGAGCACUGUAAUGGUGGGUGACAAAGGCAUGGUUAGGUGACACAAGCGUCAAGGAUGUCUGCUGAAUCUUAAUUUGCUUCUCCUUUCAUCCCAGCCCCAUACACUGUGGACACAAUUCUUUGUGUCAUCACACACUGCAUUUCUGGCAAGACCAUGAAUGCAUAAAGCAGAUUGUCUCUGGUGGGAAGGUGGAACUGUGGAGAGAGGCUGAUACCUUCAAUGGAGAGGAACAUUACCUGCUCUUCCUGUCCACAGGUGGGUAGGACAAAAGGUUGAAGCUAUGUGAAGGAGACAUAGGUUAGGCUACGUGAAGAUAUUGCAAAGAGUUCUGUAAACAGCAAUAAAUAUUACUUGGAAAGAUGGAGGAAUCGCCAGUCCUCAGAGUGUGAGAUAUGGGAUAAGGAAGGGCCAGCUGUUUCUGCACAAAAGGGAGUGGACUAGGUGCCUUCCACAUCCCUUCCAUUCAUUCCCAUUUACCCUGGAUCUGUUUUCUACGUCUUCUUCACUAACAGCAGAAGUUAAAAGGCAUGUGGUGAGUGAGACAGGCAUUGGUAGAAUGGAAAGAAGUCUUUGGCAGCUGAACACGGCCUGAGAGAAAGGGGAUCCCUUCCUAGCCUAGGCCAUGGAGCUCCUGUGAGGUGCUGCAGAUGGUCCUGCAGCCAUCAGUCACUCCCGUUUUAAGGUCUAGGUGUGCCCACCCACAGUCUCAUUUGAAACACUCAACCCUCAAAAUUUAAACAGAAAUUAGCAGAAUGUGCUCUGAAUGCAUAAUUUUGACCUCUCUGGAAAGCUACGUCUUCCUGUGCAUCAGUUGCCUUUCUGUAAAAUGAGGACAAUACAGCAUUUUUGGGGGGAUUGCAUAAGUUUAAUAUUCCCAAAGCACUUGGAUGUAGUGGCACACGGCGUGGAUGAGGCCACAAGGAAAAGACGAAUU